rnacentral:rRNA from 1 species
AGCGAACGCUGGCGGCAGGCUUAACACAUGCAAGUCGAGCGGGCACCUUUCGGGGUGUCAGCGGCGGACGGGUGAGUAACGCGUGGGAACGUGCCCUCUGGUUCGGAAUAACUCAGGGAAACUUGAGCUAAUACCGGAUACGUCCUUUUGGGGAAAGGCUUGCUGCCGGAGGAUCGGCCCGCGUCUGAUUAGCUAGUUGGUGAGGUAACGGCUCACCAAGGCGACGAUCAGUAGCUGGUCUGAGAGGAUGAUCAGCCACACUGGGACUGAGACACGGCCCAGACUCCUACGGGAGGCAGCAGUGGGGAAUAUUGGACAAUGGGCGCAAGCCUGAUCCAGCCAUGCCGCGUGAGUGAUGAAGGCCUUAGGGUUGUAAAGCUCUUUUAUCCGGGACGAUAAUGACGGUACCGGAGGAAUAAGCCCCGGCUAACUUCGUG